CUUCCCAUUGAUUUUGCUGCUCUGCUCUGACCGUGAUCUGAGCAGUUAUACGCGUGGGAUACAGUGACGGGACCUUUGUAAAUGGGGGUGCAGCAUCCGUUUCCAUCCCCAGUGCGUGGUCUCGACAUUG